GGGCGUUAAGUUGCAGGGUAUAGACCCGAAACCCGGUGAUCUAGCCAUGGGCAGGUUGAAGGUUGGGUAACACUAACUGGAGGACCGAACCGACUAAUGUUGAAAAAUUAGCGGAUGACCUGUGGCUGGGGGUGAAAGGCCAAUCAAACCGGGAGAUAGCUGGUUCUCCCCGAAAGCUAUUUAGGUAGCGCCUCGUGAAUUCAUCUCCGGGGGUAGAGCACUGUUUCGGCUAGGGGGCCAUCCCGGCUUACCAACCCGAUGCAAACUGCGAAUACCGGAGAAUGUUAUCACGGGAGACACACGGCGGGUGCUAACGUCCGUCGUGAAGAGGGAAACAACCCAGACCGCCAGCUAAGGUCCCAAAGUCAUGGUUAAGUGGGAAACGAUGUGGGAAGGCCCAGACAGCCAGGAUGUUGGCUUAGAAGCAGCCAUCAUUUAAAGAAAGCGUAAUAGCUCACUGGUCGAGUCGGCCUGCGCGGAAGAUGUAACGGGGCUAAACCAUGCACCGAAGCUGCGGCAGCGAACGUAUCACCCAAGACAACUUUACGGAGUUGACGAUUGACGGAGCGAAGCGACGUCAAAGCGUUCAUUAAAGUCGAGUUGGCUUAGGGAUACGUUCGUUGGGUAGGGGAGCGUUCUGUAAGCCUGUGAAGGUGUGUCGUGAGGCAUGCUGGAGGUAUCAGAAGUGCGAAUGCUGACAUAAGUAACGAUAAAGCGGGUGAAAAGCCCGCUCGCCGGAAGACCAAGGGUUCCUGUCCAACGUUAAUCGGGGCAGGGUGAGUCGACCCCUAAGGCGAGGCCGAAAGGCGUAGUCGAUGGGAAACGGGUUAAUAUUCCCGUACUUGGUGUUACUGCGAAGGGGGGACGGAGAAGGCUAUGUUGGCCGGGCGACGGUUGUCCCGGUUUAAGCGUGUAGGUGUGUGUUCCAGGUAAAUCCGGUUCACUUUAACACUGAGGCGUGACGACGAGGCACUACGGUGCUGAAGCAACAAAUGCCCUGCUUCCAGGAAAAGCCUCUAAGCAUCAGGUAACACGAAAUCGUACCCCAAACCGACACAGGUGGUCAGGUAGAGAAUACCAAGGCGCUUGAGAGAACUCGGGUGAAGGAACUAGGCAAAAUGGUGCCGUAACUUCGGGAGAAGGCACGCUGACACGUAGGUGAAGUGAUUUACUCAUGGAGCUGAAGUCAGUCGAAGAUACCAGCUGGCUGCAACUGUUUAUUAAAAACACAGCACUGUGCAAACACGAAAGUGGACGUAUACGGUGUGACGCCUGCCCGGUGCCGGAAGGUUAAUUGAUGGGGUCAGCG
rnacentral:rRNA from 1 species